rnacentral:rRNA from 1 species
GUGGGGAAUUUUGGACAAUGGGCGCAAGCCUGAUCCAGCCAUGCCGCGUGCAGGAUGAAGGCCUUCGGGUUGUAAACUGCUUUUGUACGGAACGAAAAGACUCUGGUUAAUACCUGGGGUCCAUGACGGUACCGUAAGAAUAAGCACCGGCUAACUACGUGCCAGCAGCCGCGGUAAUACGUAGGGUGCGAGCGUUAAUCGGAAUUACUGGGCGUAAAGCGUGCGCAGGCGGUUAUGUAAGACAGAUGUGAAAUCCCCGGGCUCAACCUGGGAACUGCGCUUGUGACUGCAGUGCUGGAGUACGGCAGAGGGGGAUGGAAUUCCGCGUGUAGCAGUGAAAUGCGUAGAUAUGCGGAGGAACACCGAUGGCGAAGGCAGUCCCCUGGGCCUGUACUGACGCUCAUGCACGAAAGCGUGGGGAGCAAACAGGAUUAGAAACCCGGGUAGUCC